UGGUGGAGUGAUUUGUCUGGUUAAUUCCGUUAACGAACGAGACCUCAGCCUGCUUUUGUAGUCGGCCGUAUACCCCGGUGGUGUACGCGUUCCAACUUCUUAGAGGGACUAUCGAUGGGGAGUCGAUGGAAGUUUGAGGCAAUAACA
rnacentral:rRNA from 1 species